rnacentral:rRNA from 1 species
GACGAACGCUGGCGGCGUGCUUAACACAUGCAAGUCGAACGGAAAGGCCCCUUCGGGGGUACUCGAGUGGCGAACGGGUGAGUAACACGUGAGUAACCUGCCCUUGACUUCGGGAUAACUUCAGGAAACUGGGGCUAAUACCGGAUAGGAAUCCUUGCUGCAUGGUGGGGGUUGGAAAGCUUCGGCGGUUUUGGAUGGACUCGCGGCUUAUCAGCUUGUUGGUGGGGUAGUGGCUUACCAAGGCUUUGACGGGUAGCCGGCCUGAGAGGGCGACCGGCCACAGUGGGACUGAGAUACGGCCCAGACUCCUACGGGAGGCAGCAGUGGGGAAUAUUGCACAAUGGGCGGAAGCCUGAUGCAGCAACGCCGCGGGCGGGAUGACGGCCUUCGGGUUGGAAACCGCUUUCAGCAGGGGCGAAGCUUGUGGUGACGGUACCUGCAGAAGAAGCACCGGCUAACUACGUG